rnacentral:rRNA from 1 species
CAAUAGCGUAUAUUAAAGUUGUUGCAGUUAAAAAGCUCGUAGUUGGAUUUCUGGUCGGAAGCUCCUGUCCUCUGAUGAGCGUACAAGUGCGUCCUACCAUCCUUCUGUUAACCUUUAAGGCUUUCGCGGCUUUCUAGGGGCUCAGAUAUUUUACCUUGAGAAAAUUAGAGUGUUUAAGGCAGGCUAGCGCCGGAAUACAUUAGCAUGGAAUAAUGGAAUAGGACUUUUGCCUCUUCUGUUGGUCAUGAGGCUCGAGUAAUGAUUAAUAGGGAUAGUUGGGGGCAUUAGUACUUAACUGUCAGAGGUGAAAUUCUCGGAUUUGUUAAAGACUAACUUAUGCGAAAGCAUUUGCCAAGGAUGUUUUCAUUAA